UAACAUGAUGAGACUCCGGAAUAGGAAGUGCCGUCAGAUGCGAUAACUGAUGAGAAAUUUUCCUCUGAAU